UACGUAGGGUGCGAGCGUUGUCCGGAAUUAUUGGGCGUAAAGAGCUCGUAGGCGGUGUGUCACGUCGGCCGUGAAAACCUGCAGUUUAACUGUGGGCGUGCGGUCGAUACGGGCAUCACUGGAGUUCGGCAGGGGAGACUGGAAUUCCUGGUGUAGCGGUGAAAUGCGCAGAUAUCAGGAGGAACACCGGUGGCGAAGGCGGGUCCCUGGAAAACUCCUGACACUGAGGCACGAAAGCUAGGGGAGCAAACAGG
rnacentral:rRNA from 1 species